rfam:Ovis aries breed Texel chromosome 8, whole genome shotgun sequence.
UCCCUGGUGGCUCAGACGGAAAGCGUCUGCCUGCAUUGCGGGAGACCCAGGUUCGAUUCCUGGGUUGGGAA